rnacentral:lncRNA from 1 species
UGCCAUCUGGCAACCAUGAAAAGCCAAGAGAAACAGAGAAGCAGAAUUAACCAACGCUGCAAACAUCAAUUUUUAAAAAUUUUUAUUAAAAAAAAAUUGAGACAGAAUCUCACUAUGUUGCCUCACCCAGGCUGGAGCACAGUGUGAGACUCUGUUUCAAAAAACCCCAAAACACAACAACAAAACCCCCUAAAACCUGCAAUGUCUCUGCCCCUCUAACUGGCUGCUUUGGUCUUUUUUUCUGUAAUUGGUCAUGAAGCCAUAGUGGACAUCUGUGACAUUCCUUCUAGCACCCAUUCCUUACUUCCUUUGCCCUCAGCCAGAACCUGUUGACUAGAGUGACCCAAGCCUUCGUUCCUGAAGGGUCUGAAUUUUCCACAGUGCUGUCAUUUUUUGGAGUUGCAGUGUUUUUGGUUGCUGUACUUCCCCUUGCCUUUACCACUGGACAUGGUGGCACUAAAGCCCUCCCGAGAAUCUCCUGGGCUCUAGACAUAGUCCUGCUUGCCUCCCUGUGCAGCAUCCCACUUUCCCCUUGGUAAUCAGGAUCAGUCCCUUCUGCCAGCAAGGUCACCCCCUCCUCUGCACAUUGCUGCAGUGGUACAAGGAGCCCCAAACAGCCAUAUGGUAGCCUCAUCUUCUAAGUCGAUGAAACCAUAAUUGUGUUGUCCGCUAGAAGCAUCUCUCCCUUAGGGACUAAGACCUCCAAACACAAGCCCUGUGAGGGGAUAUCAGAUGUGGUGACAGCAAGAGGAACUACUCCCACCUCACCCACUGGUUCCCAGACCCAUGUGCUUUGGCCGGGGGGGAGACACCAGGUUGGUCUCUGAUUUCAAGCCUCUACUGCAUCCGUAAGAUGAAACCCCAUCCCUUCAGGACGCUGUCUCACAACUGGCACCAUCAUGAGCCAUUCUACUCUUCAUUUAGGUCAUUUCUGGGUGAUGGGGCAUGUGGCAAAACCAGUUAAUUCUAAGUACAAGCCUGAUGCUGAACUCUGUGCUGUAGAAUGAGGUCGCUGAUCAGAAGCAAAGCUAUACAGAAUGCCACAGUGGUGGGUGGCAUUGAGUGCUCUGAGUCCACAUGGCCCAUAGGACGCACACCAGCUGUCCCUAUUACCAGCACUGUUCCCUAGUCCAGUGGGCAACAUUUUUCACAUAAGGGCUAAUUCGCUGAGGAGGAAGGUGUUUACAGGCCACAUUUUCUUUACUUUUGAAGUCUCCAAAAUAUAUCUUAUAACCUAGAUGACCUGCUCUAGAGAACAGUAAAGAGAAAUGAGAAAACCAACAUUGACCUCUUAAGCCAUACAAAUGGGCAUAUUUGGCACAUGCCAAAGGGAAGCUGCCAUCUAACCUUCCAUGCUGAGGCUGAAUGGCAGAAGUGAGGGGGCAGUGGGAUGCUAAGCACUGUAUCAGACCUCCCUAAACCUCAAUGGCCUCAACUUAGACUCAAUUUGGCAGGCCCUGCCUGAUGAAAUGGUGGAAACACUAUGCCUCAAAAAAGCAACCACCAAUCUCUGAGGAGUCAAAACAGAAUUUAAGGGAAAGGCAAUGACACCACUUUGAGAAAUGCGAACUCCUAAAGCACCUGGGUGUACUUUAUAGAGCGGAAUAAAACCAGCCCAACAGGUCAGAGGUGAAUGAUUCCCAAUGUUCAGAUCUUAACAGUUAAGAUACAAGGUUUCUGAAGGCCAAAAGACAAUGCAGCUUCCAGGCUUUUGGUGUAAACAAUUAACACUGAGUACAUACUAUGCCCGCACCAGGGACAAGGCCACCAUUAGAUUUCAUUCCUAAAAGCAGUACUUGAGGUUUGCCCUAAGGCAAAGUUCUAGGCAAAUCAUUCUAUAGCAGCUUCGCCUUAGAGCUCUGGGACGCUUGAAGGAAUGGUUCUUCACCUCUUGUGUAGCAAGAGAUAACCACUGAUGCAGAAUUCAUUGGCUAGCACAUUGGCUAAAACACUACUGUGUACGCAGCGCAUCUUUUAUAGAUGUAUGCAUGCACCACUGUGUGCAACAGUGUGCUCUGACAUGUGAGCCCAGUACUGCCUUGGGCAACUACUGUUGGCCAAGGGCACUUCCAGGCACAAAGGCGGGAGGAGGGCAGCUCACCAGGAGGGGCAGAGGGCUAUACCUCUCUCUUCUCUCAUGGAGCACCCCGAGUUUCUAUGCAAGGUUGGCUUUAAUUUUUUUUUUUUUUUUUGAGACGGAGUCUCGCUGUGUUGCCCAGGCUGGAGUGCAGUGGCGCGAUCUCGGCUCACUGCAGGCUCCAACCCCAGGUUCACGGUUGGCUUUAAUUUUUAAACGAAAUUCUCACAUUUUAGUUGCUACCCUGAGAUAGGACUUGAAUUUUUUUUUUGAGACCGGAGUCUUGCUCUGUUGCCACACAUGAUCUCAGCUCACUGCAACCUCUGACUCCCGGGUUCAAGCGACUCUCCUGCCUCAGCCUCCUGAGUAGCUGGGAUUCCAGGUGAGCGCCACCAUGUCUAGCUAAUUUUUGUAUUUUUAGUAGAGAUGAAAUUUUACCAGUUGGCGAAGAUGGUCUCCAUCUCCUGACCUCGUGAACCGCCCGCCUUGGCCUCCCAAAAUGUUGGGAUUACAGGUGUUAGCCACUGCAUCCGGCCAGGACUUGAAUUUUUUUAAAGUGAAGGGAGAAAAGCAGAAUGUGUAUACUAAAACAUAAAGUGCUAAUUUCUCUCUUUUGAAAGGAAAAUAGAUUGAGAAAUGUGAAUCUUCCUUAAAAAAAGAAACCAGUUUUGAUUACAGGGAACUCACUAAGUAAUCACUCCAACCUAAAAAUACUUAUUUCAUCAGGUACUGUGAGGGUAAUUGCCUUUCUCUGUGCUGAUUAAAAAAAAAGGUAAAGAGUGCAGAAUACUCAGGAGCCCAAGAGCCGAACAGCCUGGAUUGCUGGAUGAUCAGGAGAGAGGGUCUCCAGGUCAAAGGUGCUGGUCUUGAACUCCUGGCCUCAAAUGAUCCUCCCACCUCGGCCUCCCAAAGCACUGGGAUUACAGGUGUGAGCUACUACCUCACUUGUCCCCUUCCGUAAAAGGUCAGAGGUGACAUAAGACACUGGCCCUGCUUUCAGGCAAUUGAAACGUAAACAUUUAAGUAUGAUUCUCAAAUGCAGAGCAGUUGUACA